AACUUGCCCUUAACCCGGGAUUAAGCAUCCAGGCGCAUCACUGUGGACGUCCAGUUUCUGGACGUCGAGUGGCUCCUUUCCACUCUGUUUGACGCCUCCCUGUUGACACUCCGGAGCCGCUCCAAGCGGCUCCUUUUUU
rnacentral:sRNA from 1 species